GACGAACGCUGGCGGCGUGCCUAAUACAUGCAAGUCGAGCGGAAGUUGGAGAGCUUGCUCUUCAACUUUAGCGGCGGACGGGUGAGUAACACGUGGGCAACCUGCCCUGCAGAUCGGGAUAACUCCGGGAAACCGGUGCUAAUACCGAAUAGUUUUCGCCACCUCCUGGUGGCGUACGGAAAGACGGUUUCGGCUGUCACUGCAGGAUGGGCCCGCGGCGCAUUAGCUAGUUGGUGGGGUAACGGCCCACCAAGGCAACGAUGCGUAGCCGAACUGAGGGGGUGAUCGGCCACACUGGGACUGAGACACGGCCCAGACUCCUACGGGAGGCAGCAGUAGGGAAUCUUCCGCAAUGGACGAAAGUCUGACGGAGCAACGCCGCGUGAGUGACGAAGGUUUUCGGAUCGUAAAACUCUGUUGUGAGGGAAGAACAAGUACCAACUAACUACUGGUACCUUGACGGUACCUCACCAGAAAGCCACGGCUAACUACGUGCCAGCAGCCGCGGUAA
rnacentral:rRNA from 1 species